rnacentral:rRNA from 1 species
CCUACGGGAGGCAGCAGCGGGGAAUAUUGGGCAAUGGGCGCAAGCCUGACCCAGCAACGCCGCGUGAAGGAAGAAGGCUUUCGGGUUGUAAACUUCUUUUAAGAGGGAAGAGAAGAAGAGGGUGCGUCUUUAAUAAGCCACGGCUAACUACGUGCCAUCAGCCGCCGCCAUACGAAGGGGGCAAGCUAUGUGCCGAUUUACUGGGUGUAACGGGCGUGCAGCAGGGAAGAAGAGUCAUGUGGGAAAUCCCGCGGGUCAACCCUUCAUACUGUUAGUGAAACUGUUAAGCUUGAGAACGUUAGCGGUAAGUGGAAUUUCUAGUGUAGGAGUGAAAUCCGUAGAUAUUAGAAAGAACACCGAUAGCGAAGGCAGGUUACUGGGAUGGUUCUGACACUGAGGCACGAAAGCGUAGGGAGCAAACGGGAUUAGAUACCCGUGUAGUC